rnacentral:misc_RNA from 1 species
GUAGGUGAACCUGCGGAAGGAUCAUUAUCACGUAUCCACGUUCUUACCACCGCGAACCAAUUUUUCUCCUGGUGAACACAUGUGGGAUAUUCUGUACUGGAGGCGCUUUGGGCCCUUAGGGCGGGUUUCGGGCCUCCUCAUGCAGUCCACGUUGUGCACACCGGGCGUGUUUACACGCAAACCCGUGGGCCUCAACCCCUAGAACAACAAUGUAUUAUUUUAUUUGAACUGACCCGUUCUUACUUCCUUU